rnacentral:rRNA from 1 species
UACAGAGGUCCCAAGCGUUGUUCGGAUUCACUGGGCGUAAAGGGUGCGUAGGCGGCCGGGUAAGUCUGCUGUGAAAUCCCGCAGCUCAACUGCGGAACUGCAUUGGAUACUAUCCGGCUAGAGGAAUGGAGGGGAGACUGGAAUUCUCGGUGUAGCAGUGAAAUGCGUAGAUAUCGAGAGGAACACCAGUGGCGAAGGCGAGUCCCUGGACAACACCUGACACUGAGGCACGAAAGCUAGGGGAGCAAACAGG